rnacentral:rRNA from 1 species
AUUGAACGCUGGCGGCAGGCUUAAAACAUGCAAGUCGAGCGAGCGGCGGACGGGUGAGUAAUGUCUGGGAAACUGCCUGAUGGAGGGGGAUAACUCCUGGAAACGGUAGCUAAUACCGCAUACCAGCAGGUGUGCCCAGAGGGGCUUGGCUAGUGGGUGGGGUAAUGGCGCACCUAGGGUACGACCCCGAGCUGGUCUGAGAGGAUGACCAGCCACACUGGAACUGAGACACGGUCCAGACUCCUACGGGAGGCAGCAGUGGGGAAUAUUGCACAAUGGGCGCAAGCCUGAUGCAGCCAUGCCGCGUGUGUGAAGAAGGCCUUCGGGUUGUAAAGCACUUUCAGCGAGGAGGCGUUACUCGCAGAAGAAGCACCGGCUAACUCCGUGCCAGCCGCCGCGGUAAUAC